rnacentral:rRNA from 1 species
UACGUAGGGUGCAAGCGUUGUCCGGAAUUAUUGGGCGUAAAGAGCUCGUAGGCGGUCUGUCGCGUCUGCUGUGAAAACUCGGGGCUUAACCCCGGGCCUGCAUUCGAUACGGGCAGACUAGAGUUCGGUAGGGGAGACUGGAAUUCCUGGUGUAGCAGUGAAAUGCGCAGAUAUCAGGAGGAACACCGGUGGCGAAGGCGGGUCUCUGGGCCGAAACUGACGCUGAGGAGCGAAAGCGUGGGGAGCAAACAGG